rnacentral:rRNA from 1 species
UACGGGGGGGGCAAGCGUUGUUCGGAUUUACUGGGCGUAAAGGGCGCGUAGGCGGCCACCGCAAGUCGAUUGUGAAAUCUCCGGGCUUAACCCGGAAAGGUCAACCGAUACUGCGGGGCUAGAGUGCAGAAGGGGCAACUGGAAUUCUUGGUGUAGCGGUGAAAUGCGUAGAUAUCAAGAGGAACACCUGAGGUGAAGACGGGUUGCUGGGCUGACACUGACGCUGAGGCGCGAAAGCUAGGGGAGCAAACGGG